AGGGGUAUGGCUCAAGUGGUAGAGCACUUGCCUAGCAUGCAAGAGGUCCUGGGUUCGAUCCCCAGUCUCUA